rnacentral:rRNA from 1 species
CCAAGGGGGGGCAAAUACAUGCAAGUCGAACGCUUUUUCUUUCACCGGAGCUUGCUCCACCGAAAGAAAAAGAGUGGCGAACGGGUGAGUAACACGUGGGUAACCUGCCCAUCAGAAGGGGAUAACACUUGGAAACAGGUGCUAAUACCGUAUAACACUAUUUUCCGCAUGGAAGAAAGUUGAAAGGCGCUUUUGCGUCACUGAUGGAUGGACCCGCGGUGCAUUAGCUAGUUGGUGAGGUAACGGCUCACCAAGGCAACGAUGCAUAGCCGACCUGAGAGGGUGAUCGGCCACACUGGGACUGAGACACGGCCCAGACUCCUACGGGAGGCAGCAGUAGGGAAUCUUCGGCAAUGGACGAAAGUCUGACCGAGCAACGCCGCGUGAGUGAAGAAGGUUUUCGGAUCGUAAAACUCUGUUGUUAGAGAAGAACAAGGAUGAGAGUAAAAUGUUCAUCCCUUGACGGUAUCUAACCAGAAAGCCACGGCUAACUACGUGCCAGCAGCCGCGGUAAUACGUAGGUGGCAAGCGUUGUCCGGAUUUAUUGGGCGUAAAGCGAGCGCAGGCGG